ensembl:lncRNA
GAUUUACAUAUAACACAAAGAAAUGCCAGAGAGAUUUUUGUAUCAAAUGUGUGAAUACAGUUUUUCACUUGUUUUUUUUAUUAUUAUUAUUAGCUAUUGAAGCAGGCUGUUUUUCAGUGGUUGGAGUUUUUGGGUUUUUUUUAUGUACUAGUUUCUAGUCCAAAGGAGGCAAAACUUUUGAGCUGCAGUUGCAGCAAUGUUUCUGAGGCUAGACCUUGAUGGUUUCCCACUUUGUGCAGUCCUUUGGUAGUGCAAACCCCAAAUAAAUGACAACCUGUGCAAUAUUUUUGGAAAAGAAAAUUGUAUUCUUUCAUCAAAGCAUUCAGAUUUCGGGUAGGAGAUUUUAAAUGUUAAUAUGAGUUUCUGUAGGUAUGUUAUGCAAAGGGGUUGGUUAAAUGCUAGAGAAAGCCCUAUCUAGUGUUUUGCAGUUAAAAAUAACAUGAGCCAUACAUGAGAAAUAAGUUGUGGGAAUUUACUAUGACAAAGGAAUUCUCCAGUGCUCCUUGGAGCAUUUUAAUUUUGCUUAUUCUGUGAACAAAGUCCCUUACAGAAAGCUGGCGAAAUGGCUAUGGGUCACCAAUGCCUGCAACCUCGUGCUGGCUCUCAGAGUAAAUGCCUGUCACAUUCAGAGUGUGGGUGGUUCCCAGGCAGCUGUGAUCAAAGAAUGCAUUUUUCACCAAUGCAGGUAUAGUUAGUCAUCAGUUUUUACCCUGAUAUCAUGUGUGAACAUCUCUACAUCAUCAAGUUAUAGUCUCAGAUCACAGUAGAAUUUGCACAGAACGUUUUGACUGGUGGUUUGGGGGCUUAUACUCCCAAUGUUCUACUGUCAGAAGUUCUGAACAUUCUGUAUGAAUGAGGAAGGAAGAUAAGUCUAUAAUGUUUCAGAUAGGUACUUCUAAAAGUAUCAUCUGGGAUCUAAUCAAGUUCCAUUCCCAAAUCCUCUUUCAUGCUUUCCAUUCUGGACUUUAAGAUCAUCUGUUUUCUUUAGAAAGGUCUCCUUGAGUCCUGUCUGCCAUUUUAGAUACAGUCUGGCCCGUCAUUCCUUCCAUCUAUCCAUCCAUCCUUCUGUUCCUACCAAACUGAGCACUGGUUUGUGGUACAGUCCAUGAGGGUUGUCCAACCCAUGCUCCAGCCUGGGCACCUCCAAAUCCAGUACUGCAUCCAUGCUGAGCCAUGAACUGAGUAGGUGUGGGGGGUGGCUGUCAGUUUAGGUACUUGACAGCCUGGGACUUGGGAUUUUAGAGAGUUUUGUCCAUUUUCAAAAUGAACCUGGUUAUAAAUGAGCCAAAUGGCUGGGACCCAGAGAAAGCACUGGGUGCUCGAUCAGCCAUUGCCCUAGUGGGAUGCACUCAAUGGUCCACGUGUGGGAGAGGCAGUACAGGUGUGCUCCAGCUCAUGCUGAAGAGAAACCAUCUAAGAGAAACAGUGCUCAGUAGGUUGGAAUGGCAGCAAUGAGUUUGUGGGCUUUCUUUCUCAGAAAACAGAGGCUUUUGCCUGCUGGAAAAUCUAUGAUUCAUAAAAGAUUUAGUAGUUUCAAUUGCUUUUUCAAGCACUGUUAUAGUUGAGAAGUUCCUGCGUCACUGUUGAAAGCAGAAAAAGUUCAAUAUAUGCAUGAACAAAAGAAUCUCAAGCAUCCCUCUGCCAUAUGGGCAGAUGAAAUCAGCUGCCUGCAUCUCCUAUCUGCUGCAGCUGACAGGCAGUGUGAGGCUCAGACCCAGAUAUUGGUCUGAGAACGUGGGUGUUCCUCAGCUCAGCACUGCUGUAAUUAGUCCUUGAGUUGUGGCAUACAGGGAGAGAAUCAAGAGUGGCCAUUCAUGGGAAAGAGAAAAGAGAAAUGUAAUACAAUAUGAAAAAAAACUUUGUGCAACACACUAACUUUCCCUUUUCUUUCAAAAUCAAAUGUAGCCCCAUUGGAGUGAAGUAAGCCUAGGUUUUCUGGGGUUUUAAUCAGUUUGAUGUUGCAGCAUUAGUCAAAAUGGUGGCAGCAUUAAAGGGAACUGUUCCCAGUAAUUAGGGAGGAUAAAUCUUUUUUUAUUAUUAUUAUUUUUUAAGUAGCUCAACAAAUAAACCAUCCUUUGACAUCUGAAUGGCUUUUAUUUAUUUUACUAUUUUCUAAUGUUAGUAGGAGUUAAAGCCUGGAAAUCUGAAAGGAAGGAGGAAAUGUGUCUGAUGCGUUCUCAGUGUCAGGCCUCCUGAGGAAAAUGCACCUGUUAAGUGUUACCACUUAACAGUGUUGGGGGAAUAACUGAAAUCGAGGUGACAGCUAUCUUAAGCAAUCAUUGGAAGAGAUAGCAAAAAUAUUGAUUAUUAAAGGCAAACCUGGAAUUAGAGCAAAAUAGCACCAGUGCACUUGAGAACAACUGAAUAUGAUAAAUCUUUCUUUGAAUUUCAUCGCUUUCAUUCAGCAAAACAACAUUCCUCUGGAGGUAAAUCAAAGCAGGGCUUUAGCCCAUGCUGUGGUGGUUAUUGAAUCCCAGCGUCAGAGGCAGCAGUGCGAGAGUUAGCCUCCAUUUACUUCCCAAUUAUGAUUUAUUCAGAGGCUUUUAGUGUGAUUUGCCUGGCAGGCAGGUGAUUUUUGAUGAAAAACACAUCACGCCUCCUCAGCAGGGUGCACGUGUCACCCGCAUGAAGCCCUGCCUUAAGCCUUGGGGUUAUGGAAGCCCCUCAGAGCUGGCAGGCAGCAGAGUGCUGGCGUUUUUCUGGAGAACCCUUUCCCACAGUGACAACAGGGCAAAAGCUUGAGCCAGUUCACAGUACUUCUUUGAUAAAUCUGAACCAACAGUAAGCACUUUGCAGCUUGAAAGCCUGCCAGCAGCACGUGAGGUGUGUGCAGCAAGUCCUGAGUGUUUGCACAUGUGAAAGGAUCCUUUCAUCAAGGUGAUGGGGUUGGGUGUAACCAGUGGGCUGUGUUGGCGGGCUGUUGAGCUGAAGUAUGAAGUAAGCCAAGGAGGGUUUUAGUUUUUCGGUUUUCUGUCAUCUAAGAAAGCUUUUCUGAGUGCUAGGGGAGGAAAACAAUUAUAGCAUUUAUUUCAAUUGAGAUUUUCAGGUGGCUAGAGCGUGCAAGUCCAGUACGUCAACUGGACAAGAGGUGAGACCUAUGCUGGUUAUGGUGGUGUGUGAGAUCUGGGCGCUGAGGAGCAUGCUGGAAUUUACAGGCAUGGGAAGUGGUGUUCCCAGCAGUGAACUGGGUGGGAAAGUGCAAGUGGUUCUGCUUUCCAGCUGUGUGGAAGCAUAGAGCAGAGGAAAAAGACUUUGUCACAGCCAUGAGCUGUGAAUCCUUUAUGACUGAAAUCUCCAGUGCUGGCUGAAGAGCUACAGAAAUCCGCUCAAACAAGCAAGGGGCAGCAUGAGUCAUGCCAGCAACGCAGGUGUGAGGCUGCCGCCUCAUCCUCUGGCUCACAGAGGGUGAGCAGCACGGUAUGAGGCAUGGAGAGGAGCAAAUGUUGGGUGUCAGCAGGCUGUUGUCAGAGCAGCUGGAGAAAUGCCUGUGGUGAUGCAAUCCCACCCCUUGCCCACCUGGCCAUGGCUGGCUCAGCACCAUGGGCUUAGAGGCUUUGCUUUCCAACACUGUCUUCCUUCACCACAGCAAAUACUUAGAAAGAGACCAUGCUCAUUGCUUUAAAAUAUUUAUUUAAAAGAGAUCUGUUUUUUUUUUUUUUUUUCCAUUGAUCCCAGUAAUUUUUCCCCCGUGCUUUUAUACAAAGAAAAAUAGUUCUGUGACGUGAACAGAGAGAAAAGAGUUAGGGAUCACCAUGCCUGUCCGUACUUCUGUAGGUAGAAGCAUGUUGUCUGUUCAAGCUGCCUUUCCCUUCUGAAGUUCCUUCCUGAUUCUGACACGCGAUGAUUCAAAGCUGUGUUUGAAUGCAAAGUUUUCACUUUAUGUCUUUAUAAACCCAAAUUAAGUACUGGAGAUGGUAUCAAAAAGAUCAAAGGCGGCACUGAGAGCUGCUCUGUGGCAUUGGUGGUGUUUUUAAUAUUUCAGCGUAUGUUUGGUCGUUACUUUUCUAAAUUUAAGUGCACUUUUCUUGAGUAAUGGAUGUAAGAUGUCUGCAUGACGGAAAGUAAUUUAAGUUCACUUUUUUAAAAGAUGUGAUUCGUGCUGUAGGCUACGUUUGUUCAACAGAUAACAUUUUCACGGAGGGGUGGCAGUUUACUUUUUGUUAGUGCUUUCAAUAGAACGUCGAAGGCAUUUUCCAGCGGAAUCACAUUCUGAAACCUUUGCCUCAGCAACUCCAGCAGAAGGGGGACCUUUCAAAAAUAACGGCUUUCCAACACAGUUUUUCCAUCUGGGUAAAAAUGUGCGAGUUUGUACAUCACAUACAAGCUAUACUUCCAAAAAAAAAAAAAAAAAAAAAAAAAAA